GAUGAACGCUGGCGGCGUGCCUAAUACAUGCAAGUCGAACGCUGGAAAUCUAGCUUGCUAGAUUGAAGGAGUGGCGAACGGGUGAGUAAUACAUAAGCAACCUACCCACGAAGACUGGGAUAAUCUCUGGAAACGGGGACUAAUACCGGAUAGGUAAUCGGAAGGCAUCUUCAGAUUAUUAAAGGUUAAAAACACUGGUGGAUGGGCUUAUGGCGCAUUAGUUAGUUGGUGAGGUAACGGCCCACCAAGACGAUGAUGCGUAGCCGGCCUGAGAGGGUGAACGGCCACAUUGGGACUGAGACACGGCCCAGACUCCUACGGGAGGCAGCAGUAGGGAAUUUUCGGCGAUGGGGGAAACCCUGACCGAGCAACGCCGCGUGAGUGAUGACGGCCUUCGGGUUGUAAAGCUCUGUUGUAAGAGAAGAACGGUAGAUAGAGAAUAUCUAAAUGACGGUACCUUAACAGAAAGCCACGGCUAACUACGUG
rnacentral:rRNA from 1 species